rnacentral:rRNA from 1 species
AGCGAACGCUGGCGGCAGGCCUAACACAUGCAAGUCGAACGGAUCCUUCGGGAUUAGUGGCGGACGGGUGAGUAACACGUGGGAACGUGCCCUUUGGUUCGGAACAACUCAGGGAAACUUGAGCUAAUACCGGAUGUGCCCUUCGGGGGAAAGAUUUAUCGCCAUUGGAGCGGCCCGCGUCUGAUUAGCUAGUUGGUGAGGUAAAGGCUCACCAAGGCGACGAUCAGUAGCUGGUCUGAGAGGAUGAUCAGCCACAUUGGGACUGAGACACGGCCCAAACUCCUACGGGAGGCAGCAGUGGGGAAUCUUGCGCAAUGGGCGAAAGCCCGACGCAGCCAUGCCGCGUGAAUGAUGAAGGUCUUAGGAUUGUAAAAUUCUUUCACCGGGGACGAUAAUGACGGUACCCGGAGAAGAAGCCCCGGCUAACUUCGUGCCAGCCGCCGCAGUAAAAC